CUUGCAUGGGGUGCAAGGGGUCGUAGGUUCAAAUCCUACCGUCCCGACCA
rnacentral:tRNA from 1 species